rnacentral:tRNA from 1 species
GUCUGAGUAGUCUAAUAGGUAAGAUACUGGACUGUUACUCCAGUGUUGGUGGUUCGAGUCCACCCUCGGACG